GUGCAUUCAGUCUGUCCAUUUGGUUGUGAACAAACGCCUCCACCCAAGUGAAGCGAAGAACAGCUUUGUGCCUAACGGAGAGGGAGAAAUUUCAAGUUGGUGGAUGGAAUGGAGGGACUGCAUUCAUCUAAGGUUUUGAUAGCAACGAGCAGAUCUGAAGAAGAAGACGAUAAGAGAGAGUUAAUCCGUGGUGAUGUUGUUAGUAGUAGCAGCCCGGUAGAUGUUGCUAAGGACUCCUAUCCAAUAGAAGAUUGUGGAAGCACAAAAGGAUCAUUCGGUGGUGUUGGUAACAAUUUCAAGGGGCAUGGCAGAUUCGGAGCAUCGGAUCUGCAGAAAACUAAGGAAAUUAGGAAUUGAAGGGGUUGAGUGGAUAAACAAAAUGGUGCACACAGAUCUUAAUCAUUCAGCUUGGUUAAUGCUUAAUGUCAUGCCUGAUGAGCGUGCUCUAAGAAUUGGGGUAGAUGAUUGUGACAUAGUUCAUAUUAGAGAAGCUGCGACAGCAAACAUAACUAGGAACAGAAUGGGUGGUUCAAUAAAUAUUCCAGUUUGUGAAGGUGCCCCAAGCCAUAGUGAAAUCAAAGUUGUGCGAAGCAUACUGAAACUUUAUGAUGUAACUGAAGAAAUAACAGUUUCUGAACUUGUUGCACUGUUGUUGGGAGAAAGUAAGAAGGGGUUGGAAUUAGAUGAGGAAGGCGCUUCACGCACGGAGAGAUCAUUUGCAAUGCUUUACCUUUCUAUUGCACUUGGUCCGGUGGAGAAAAAAUGUUGUGUGAACAGGAGUUCUUAUAUGAUGGUGAUACUUUAUCCUGAUUUGAAAGAUGUCAAUUGGGGAAAAUAUGUCGUUGAUGAGAUAAUAAGCUGUGCAAGGAAACUGAACCGUGACAAUCCACUGCUUAACAUAACACUGAAGGAAAUAUGCCCUAGGGGCAAUAAUAAAGUUGUUAUUUAUAUUUUCCUUA